rnacentral:misc_RNA from 1 species
UUGAAUAACUGGAGGGUUGUCGCUGGCUUCUAGGAGCAUGUGCACGCCCUUCAAAUUCAUCUUAACCACCUUAACCACCUGUGCACCUUUGUGGACUAUGGCAACUCUCAGUUUUCGGACUGGAUAGAGGAACAUGCGCUUUAGCUGUUCUUCAAUGUCGUAGGCUACGUUUAUCUAUACACUAUAUAAAGUCCAGAAUGUCUGUUAUUAGGUCUUGUACCUAUAAACUUUAUA